rnacentral:rRNA from 1 species
CUUGCUUAAUAUAAGAGGUCCAGCCUGCCCAGUGAAAAUUUAACGGCCGCGGUACCCUGACCGCGCGAAGGUAGCAUAAUCACUCGUUCUUUAAAUAGGGACUUGUAUCAAUGGCAUCACGAGGGUCGCACUGUCUCCUCCCCCCAAUCAGUGAACCUGAUCUCUCCGUGAAGAAGCGGGGAUGAAAAUAUAAGACGAGAAGACCCCAUGGAGCUUUAAACCCAAAGCAAUCUAAUAAAAUAAACCCCCAUAUAAUUUAAGUAUGCAUAACGGCUUUAGGUUGGGGUGACCGCGGGGCAAAAACAAACCCCCACAACGAAAAGAGAUAAACCUUUAUUUAAGAGCUACUACUCUAAAAAUUAGCACACUAACGAACAAUGACCCGACAAUCGAUCAAUGAACCA